GAGGAAGACGUGCAGUAUUGAAGGCUACGCUAGCCCACUGCAACUUGAAGACAUUAUGGAGGAACUUGGCAGAGGAGAGCCCAAACUGGGAAGUAAUGAAAUACGCCUUAGCCUUUACUUUCUGACUCAGACGGCCUUCAUCAUCACAACCACUCACACCUGCAUUCAACCUGUAUUCUUGCAGGCUGCUUAGCCUUCGGCUGGAAGGCAGACACUUCUAAGUAAGGCUUCCUAUAACGAAUUACCACAAAUGUGGUAGCUUACAGCAACAAAAACUUAUUCUCUCACAGUGUGUGAGACCAUACUCCUUCAAAACCUCGA